rnacentral:misc_RNA from 1 species
AAGUCGUAACAAGGUUUCCGUAGGUGAACCUGCGGAAGGAUCAUUAUUGAGACAUGAAUCGUAGCAUUGAGAACUGUUGCUGACCUGUUAAAGGGUAUGUGCACGUUGUGAGUGUUGCGUUUUAUUCUUUUUUCCCUGUGCACGUUUGUAGACUUGGUUGUUGAGUGGUUAGAAGGGUUGCUGGAAAGCUCUCUUUGCUUAGGAUUGAAGGGUUGCUGGAAAGCUCCCUUUGCCUAGGAUUUCACUUGUGCAAAGCUCGCGCUUUGUGUACCAGGUCUAUGUCUAUAAUCUCUUGUAUGUAUAGAAUGUCUUGUUUAUAGGACGCAAGUCCUUUAAAUGUUAUACAACUUUCAACAACGGAUCUCUUGGCUCUC